AAUCAACGCUGGCGGCGUGCCUCAGACAUGCAAGUCGAACGCGAAAGUCCCCUUCGGGGGACAAGUAGAGUGGCGCACGGGUGAGUAACACGUAGGUAAUCUACCUUCGGAUGGGGAAUAACAACCGGAAACGGUUGCUAAUACCGCAUAAUGCAGCGGCACCUAAUGGUGACAGUUGUUAAAGCGGGGGAUCGAAAGACCCCGCGUCUGAAGAGGAGCCUGCGGCGGAUUAGCUAGUUGGAAGGUAAUGGCUUACCAAGGCGACGAUCCGUAGCCGGCCUGAGAGGGCGGUCGGCCACACUGACACUGACAUACGGGUCAGACUCCUACGGGAGGCAGCAGUCGGGAAUUUUGGGCAAUGGGCGAAAGCCUGACCCAGCAACGCCGCGUGAAGGAUGAAA
rnacentral:rRNA from 1 species